GGCCCCAGAGAUUUGGACAUCUCAGCUGGAGGAGAAGGAUGGGAAGCUGUGACUGACACUCCGCAGGAGUGGGCUGGAGCAGUAGCCAUGCGUCAACACUGGGGGAAGCCCUGAGUGCCUACCCACAGACUGCCUUCUGAAAUAGUCUGUAUGGGCAUCCCUACUCUCAGAUCUCCAGACACUGGGGGCCAAUCCAUGCUGUCAUUGCUUUCUUUAUGCUAAGCUGUUUCUGUGCCUUCACUUGCCACAGGUGGUGUGGAAGACAAUGUGAAAGUGAAAAUUAGCUGCCCCUGAGACAAUUCCACAAGUAAGACACAUGUUAUCUGACAUGCAACUGCAAGUGGAAACCUCAGAUGGGAGCUUGAAAGUGCAAAUACUAUGAAUCUUACGGCAAAGUAACUAUUGUUGGGGAAUCACUAAGCCCUGAAAGCAAGCUGUAUUUUGAUGAUGAGAAUUGGAAAGGUCCCUUUGCCAAUGGGACUUGGGCUUUAAAGGGGAAUUACUGGAUUUGUGGCCGAUACGCUUACUGCAGAUCCCCGAACUGGUCAGGGAUAUGUUAUGUGGGGUAUAUUAGACCAUUGUUCUUUCUGCCACCACAAGUUCA